CAUUAAAACACCGCUUCUCGUACGAUCAGCGAAGUUAAGCAACGUUGGGCCUGGACAGUACCUAAAUGGGUGACCGCUUGCAAAUAACAGGUGUU